rnacentral:rRNA from 1 species
AUACGGAGGGUGCAAGCGUUACUCGGAAUCACCGGGCGUAAAGCGCGCGCAGGCGGGCUGAUAAGUUGGAUGUGAAAGCCUACGGCUCAACCGUAGAACUGCAUCCAAAACUGUCAGUCUAGAGUCUGGGAGGGGAAGAUGGAAUUAGUUGUGUAGGGGUAAAAUCCGUAGAGAUAACUAGGAAUACCAAAAGCGAAGGCGAUCUUCUGGAACAGUACUGACGCUGAGGCGCGAAAGCGUGGGGAGCGAACAGGAUUAGAAACCCUAGUAGUCC